AGUAUACCGAAACGGUUGUCCAGGGUUCCAACCUACCCGACCGAGCCCAGUCCUGGCUCGAGUAGGUCAGUAACCGAGGCAGGGCCCAAGUUCAGCUUAGAGCUUACAACAUGCACAAGUAAUCAAGUAAUUCGGCAAAAGGUAAAAUUCAUCAUUUGAGUAGGUCGAGUGAGGUAAAGUACACACUCGCCUAACAAUGAUGGACAACUUCAUAUAACAUGCGAUUCAUGAUAAUCAAGUGAUCAAGUAAGUUGGUGAUCACGUAAGCAGAUAAUCAAGUAAGCAAGUAGCCGAAUGGAUUAGAAAACGGUAAGUAAACACGGUAAACGGUAAACGGUGGUAAUUACGGUUAAUUGGCAGACAUAUGUCAUUUUAAUAGGCCACCAUUGGCCGAUUUUCACUUUUUCCACAUAAGAGUCGAGGAGAUUCACUCCAACCGACUUAUGCUGUCAUAGCAUAAUUAAUCAUUUAAACACAUCAUGUAGAUAUGCUCUCCAAACAUUUCAUAUCUAGUAUUUCAAGUAAUCACAUAAAUAUGCUCUUUAAGCAUUUCAUAUCGAAUAGUUCAAAUAUACAUAUUUCAGGUAUUUCAUGUCGAGUAAUUCAAGUAUACCUUAUUCAGAUAUGCAUGAGUGUGGUAAAUACUUAACAUAUAGCACUUAACACUUAAUAAUCAUGGGUUAUGCAUGUCAUAGACUUAUUCCAAUUACGUAUUCCUAUAUGGAACACUCACCUAUAGCAACAAGAGAGUAAUACUCAAACAAGUGUCUAGGCGUCCACUUCGAGUUCUUCUUGAAGGUCCCCUUGAGCACCUGAGCAAAUAACCAUUAACUAUUAUACACUAUCACUUAGAACUCCUACUUAUCAAAGAAGGUUGUACAAUCUAAAGGGAAUUCAUGAAUUGGGCCUUAAUUAUUAAUAAUCGAGGCUCAAGAGUAAAGUUUUAAAGUCUAAAGAAAGAGACUAACAUUUUUCAUGAAAUCGAGUUCAAAAUGUUCAAUCGGUAUCGAGAAAAGAAGGCAAGUUUCCAAAAUCUCAUUUCUAAGAAAUUCUCAAAUUUUAGCUUUGGGUGUCAAUUCUAGAAAAAUCGUAUCUUGCACUACGUAGGUCCAAAAUUGGAAAGCUUGAUACCAUUGGAAACUACAUUCCGAGUACUACAAGUUUCUAGAAGACACUUUUCCAUGAUUCGAAAUGGAAGGUAUUCAAAAGUUGGAUCAAAGUUACUGCUGUAGAAUACUAAGACAGUUUCAAGGUUGGUUUUUGGCCAAUUUUGGAAAUUCAGUAAAAUUCACUUGUUUUGAACUAACCUUUGAAAUUUGGAAAUCAAAUAGUGUUGCAAUCCAAGAGUAUAACAAAACAAGCGGAUUGAGAAACGGAGUUUCGAGCACCAAGAUAUAGUAGCCCCAAGUUGAGGAAGAUUCAAGACUGAAGAAGAAUUUCCAGUUUUGAACCUCCAACACUAGAAAUUUAAUUGGGUAUCGAAACGAACUUGGAUUGGUACCAAAAUUGGCAGUAUUUUACUCCCAUAUGAAAGGUACCACUCUAUCAAAUUUCAGGGAAAAAUACUUUCGGUAAGAUAGUUAAUUAGUCAACCAAAGUUCAGGAAAAUUAUAAGGCAAUCUGCCUUGAGACUUUCAUUACCCAAUUCAAAACGUCUAAUCAAGCAAACUAUACAAUCAUGGUUCAUUUGUGAAAUAAAGGCCUAAGAAACAUCCAUAAUGCCUUUGGUAAGGGUUUAGUAUCAAGAACAUCAAUUAACAAGUUCACUCCAAUAUCUUGUUCCAAACCAGUCCAACAUUAGGGUUUUUCCAAAACAGAGCAGUCCACUUGUUUCAGUCACAACUCAGUCAAUUUAACUCGAAAUCGAGCAUGGCUUAUGCCGUUGGAAAAUACAUUCAUAGUACUAAAACAUCACAGAAGAAGUCAUUCCCAAAUUCGGCACCCAUCCGGUUCAAAUUCGGGCAUCAAGUUGCUGCCUGAACACUUCAUUCCAGACGAACAGAGCAACAGGACAGCGAACUUAAAACAUUUGGUUCGGCUUGCUCACAAGGAAUCAGAACGUAAAUUUUAUACCAAAUUAAAGCUAGGAAUGUCUAGUUUCAAACGCCACCGACGGCACAUGAUUUCGACAUCCGAGGACAGAGUUAUAGCCAAAAUGCCAACGCUGGACAGUGCAAUACGGAACAGAUUUCCAGAUUGCCACUUCUAGGAGAAAAAUUCAUUUGACCCACCAAACGUUAAUGUUUUCCAACGAAAAUUUUUACACACAUAAUAUAACAUAUAUACAUCAGGUUCAUGCCAAUAGAUCACCAAAAAUGGGCCUUCUUAUGGCCGAACAAAACAGGGGCAUUUUCGGAAAUUCUUGCCAAGACCUCUACUUUGAGUUUCCAACAAUAACACUCCAUAAACUCAUCAUUAUAACCACUAAACUACCAUUAAAUCCAACAGUAAUCCUUAAAUCAGCAACAACAACCCAAGUGUGGGAAUACCAAGAGCCCACUCAUUUCAUUUUCACCAUAAACAAGCUAACUAAGUGCAUGCAUGAGCUUAAUCUUGCUAUAUAAAUUCCAAAAGACAAGAAUCCAAGGGUUGAUCAUUACCUAUUCCUUGGGUGUGCAAGAUCAGAAAUUUCGGCUCUCUUGAAGCUCCAAGAACCCGUGAAGAUGCAGCCUUUUGUUAGCUAAAUCCAACCUCCAAGAGGUUUGCUAAGUGGUCUCCAAGUUUGGUGUGAUUUGGAGGUGAUUUGGGGUAGUUUUGGUUGAGAUUAGUGUGCAGAAUUUUUGUUGCAAAUGAGUUAGAGAGAGAGAGAGGAGCUUGGCCGGCUGUGAGGAGAGAGAAGAGAGAGUGUGAUUUUGAUCUAAGUUGGCUUCUCAAAGAAGAUUAAAUGUGUGGUGAAAAAUUGUUCCAAAGUCAACUCUUGUAAGGCUCGUUUGGCACGUUUUUAGGCUCGAUUUUCUCGCGCGUUUGGUUCACUAGUGCACUAAACCUCUAAUGCACUCAUGUUAAUAUAAACAUUAUUCACUCUUAAUUGUCUCGAAACAAGGGUCUAAAGUUCCUGAAUUUAAAUCGCGCGUGUGAAAACGCGUAUCUCCAAUUUAAGCGCGAUAACGCGAAACUUCCGAGAAAUUCUUAUAACGAUAGUACUAAUAACUAUCACUUGAGUAUUUAAACAUUAAAAUGCCUAAUUUAGGUCCAUUGUACAUGUCUCCAAUAUUUCAAACCUAUUGUACUCUCAAUCGAUCAAGAUUUCCAAAGACGUGUUCACUAUUUUCACUAAACGAGCUUCCGAAAAUUAAUUUUUGAAACAAGUCAUUUUAAAAAUAUAAUGAAACUAUAUUUUCAUGUAAUUAGGUCUCAAGAGCUUAGAAAAUAAUAUUCGGAGUAAAAGACCAAAUAAAUAAUUAAAUAAGCUAAAAAUAGGAGAUUAAAUAAGUAAAUUUUGCGAGUCCUCACAACCUCCCCUCCUUAAAAGAAUUUCGUUCUCGAAAUUCAUACCUUCUGUAAUUUCAGACAACUCUGAACCAUGUGGUGUGUUCAUGUUAUGCGUUCUUUCAGAUGCUAUUGGUCGGUUUCUCCUUCCAUUGACUUGUCGAGGGACAGUUCCAUUUCCUUGUGGAGCAGUAGUUUCUCGUGGAUACCUCCUUGGACAGUCAUGAACUUUAUGGUUGGUACUCCCACACCCCAUACACUUUCGUCCCUUUAGCCAACAGUUUUCUUCAAUGUGAUUCGUCCUUCCACAAUAUCCACAAGUCGGACGAGGUGUUGUGACCUGACUGGCUUGCGAGGUUUUCUUUGAUCGUGUCUGUUCUACUGAAGUCCCUCGCGACAUAGUUCCUUUUGGUUCCUUUAUCAUGAGUGGUGCAGGAAAUAACAGUCCUACUCCAUCCACUUCUUUUCUAACUUUGGGUGGUGGUCCAUUUCCUCCUAGUGUACUAUCAGAUGCAUCUCUUUUCCUUGCUUGGAGAGCUCUCAGUUGAGAUUUUGUGCUUUCUACCCUUUGCGCUUUUUCGAGAGCGUCACUAAAUGUUUCAACCUGUGCUGCAGCAAGGGCAUCUUGGAUUUCCAAAUCUAAUCCUUGGAUAAACCUUCUUAUUCUCUUCCGUUCAGUAGCCACCAAUUCUGGGGCAUAUGUAGAUAACUUUGUAAAGCGUGUUUCAUACUCAGCUACGCUCAAAGUUCCUUGACGAAGCUUUAUAAAAUCAUCUUCUCUCUUUUCUUGGACAAGUGGAGGAAGAAAUUUCUCAUUAAAUUCACGUACAAAGUUUAUCCAAGUCCUUAGGGUUUGAUCUCUUUCCCACUUGUUUCUUAUAACAUUCCACCAGGCUCGGGCUGCUCCUUCAAGUUGAAAUACAGCAAAGGUGACUUGUCUCUCCUCUGUGUAAUCCAAGGCAUCGAAUAUAUUUCUUAUAUUCUCUAACCAAUUCUCAGCCACCUCUGGAUCAGGUCCUCCAGCAAACUUGGGCGGGGAAAAUUUUUGAAACCGCUCUAAAGCUCGAUCCUCCCCUAUCUCUUGGUUUCCACGUUGGUUUCCUUGUCCAACACCUUGACCUUGUUGAGCUAUCAAGAGCUCCAGGAUAUCCGUCAUGCGAGUUAAAACUUGUCCCAUUUGGUCAUUUCCUCUCCCAACACUUGACUCAACGUUUUGAUCAAUACCGGACCCAUUAGCUACUCUUUCAUUUCGGGGUUGUCUAGGUUGACGUCCCUUUCGUUGUCCUCUAGUUUCCAUAUUCACAACUAAUCUAUACGCACAUGCAUAACCCUCACACUUAGUUAAAAUUGAACUAUACUCAUAUACCAGUAGCAACAUUUAAAGAGAAUGAAGUCACUUACACAAAUAACAUUAUCACUAUGCAAGUAAACACAAACUAGAGUUCAUUAAAUUAUAAAACAAGUUAUGGCCAAGUAAAGUUCAUGCCAAGUCAAAGUCAAUAGCAAAAUAAACAAGUGAUCAUCACAAGUACAUUCAUCUUCAAGGCGCAGACUCUAAGUUUUACUCCCAUCGUCUCACUAUAAAAGAUCACAAGUAGGGAUUCACUAGAUUAUUGGAACUAGACGAUUCUCAUUCCCUAACAUGCUCGAUUUCAAUCCCAACACAAGGAUCUUUUGAGUUACAAUAUUUUCCAUCUUCCACCCUUAAUUAUUGUACCAUCUUAACCAAACAAUUAUUGGUUUCCUGUAACCAUUCACAUGAAAUAUCGAUUCAUUCUUAUUCCCCAAAAAUGGAGAUAUAAAGUCCUUAUGGUUGCCCUCAACUCUCAAGUACUCGGGUACAAGAAUCCGAAAUAAGGUAAUUCACAACUCGAGCCGGCCGGUCCCAAGACUAAAUCACCACAUUCGAGAUUCCUACCCAACAUACAUAUCAAAUUCCCUCCAAUUAUCAAGAUAAAGGUUUUACAACCUAUAACAUUCAUGAUUCACAGCUUACAUUUUUUUUUUGAAGGGCACUUAAACCUUUACUCAAUCACAUAGUAAGGACCAUAACACCACUUGGUCCUAUCUUGCUCCUUUGUAGAGACCACGUGAAUUGGCUCUAAAUUUCAUUGCUACAAGCAAUCAUUUAACUUUCAAACCAGUCCCACAGUCCGGCAUCCUAAACAUUUAAGCCUAGGAUACACUACAAAGAUCUGAAGCCUAAGCUCUGAUACCAACUGUGACGCCCCCACUUCUCCCUAAGGCGAACCAAAGGGUAUCCGCGGGACGCCUGCCCAGCUCUCGCCGGGACUCACUACAAUCGAUCAUUCAAAAGCUCGAAAUACUUUAAGUAACCUCAAUACAUAAUUAAAGUACUUCGAAUAUCUCACACUUACAAUUAUGCAGCUGUCAAGCUUAAAUACAACCCAAUGGAAAAGGGGUACUAUAGCCAUCCGUUAUAAUAUAACUUAAAGUCUUCAAAAGAAAACAAUCUAGUACUACUCACGAGCACCCUUGGUCUCGAACCCUGUAAAAGAAAUCCACAACGUGGUAUGAGCUACACAGCCCAGUGAGGUUCCAAGACACUCUAACAGUUCAAAUAAAUCAAAUAAGUUGGGCAUAUCAUACGCAUGGUUCAAGGUUACACAAUGGCAUGUUAUCAUGAGGCAAUAAUCAUUGUACAGGUAAUUUGAGCAUAUCAUAGGUAUGGCACGUUUUCAUAAAACGGUUAUCAUUAUGUAAAAUAAACACACAUUGAAGGAUACGGUGUUCCAGUGGAACUCUGUCGGUCAUCUGCACCUUAUGACUUCCGGAUCCCCUCGGUUUGACUGGCCAUCACCUUAUCCCUCCAGUGGUAAUACUCGAGUAUACCGAAACGGUUGUCCAGGGUUCCAACCUAACCGACCGAGCCCAGUCCUGGCUCGAGUAGGUCAGUAACCGAGGCAGGGCCCAAGUUCAGCUUAGAGCUUACAACAUGCACAAGUAAUCAAGUAAUUCGGCAAAAGGUAAAAUUCAUCAUUUGAGUAGGUCGAGUGAGGUAAAGUAUACACUCGCCUAACAAUGAUGGACAACUUCAUAUAACAUGCGAUUCAUGAUAAUCAAGUGAUCAAGUAAGUUGGUGAUCACGUAAGCAGAUAAUCAAGUAAGCAAGUAGCCGAAUGGAUUAGAAAACGGUAAGUAAACACGGUAAACGGUAAACGGUGGUAAUUACGGUUAAUUGGCAGACAUAUG
rnacentral:lncRNA from 1 species